rnacentral:tRNA from 1 species
GGGCGAGUGGCGGAACUGGCAGACGCAGCAGACUUAAAAUCUGUCGGCCGAAAGGUCUUGAGGGUUCGAGUCCCUCCUCGCCCA